UGCCUGGCUUGUUGACAGAAUUUAAAUUUGCUCUUUAAUUUUCAUGGCAGAUUUAGCUUGUUGAUUAUAUCCUUGACUGUUUUCUCAUGUGUUAGUAAAAAUGUCAAUGUUCACUCUUACUGAGUUCAUGCUAUUAAGAUAUUAAUGAAUUCAUUAAAAAAAGCCAUUUAUAAAAUAUUUUGUCCAGGUUUCUGUGCUGUAUGAGGACCUGAAGAAGCGCGUGUCCCAGUCCAACAUGCAUGUGCCAAUGAAUGCUCAGCCCUUGGACUACACCAGUGAAUACAGACAAAAGUUCAUUCUUCAGAUGGUCAUUGGUGGUGCCUACUACCUUGUCCAAAGUGAAAUAUAUGAAGACCUGGCUUCCAGAGAACUGAAUGGCUCCAACCCCAGAACUACUGUGAUGGUCGUACCCCUGAGAGAUUUUGAAAUUGUAACAUCAGUCCAUGUGUUGUGUCCAGGUGAGGAACCUCCCUCCGUACAGUCUUCUGUACUACAAGCAGCUGCAGUCUCUGUUCCGCCUGUGUGGACAGGUCAAAACCAUUUCCUUUGAGAGUUCCAGAGCAUACUUGGAGUUCCACAAGACAACUCGAGACUCGGUGGUGCUGCCUGAGGUGUCGCUUGCCCUCCUCUUGGGCCAGCAGGGCCCUCCCAUGGAGCUCUCAGUCUACCCCACUGAAGAAAUAGAAAUCCGUGCUGGGAACAGUCCCGUAGCUCACAUGAAAUAUGCUCGGUAUGACUCUGUUCACACAUUAUUUGAGUGAGUGAAAUCUGUUGCUACAUUUAUUUAAUGAAAAGUAUUCUACAUUUGAUCAGUGAGUAAAGAUUGCAUAAGGGGACAAAAGGAUUUUCUGUGUGUAUUUUUGUUUUUCAUGAAGGCUGAGAACAUCUUUUUAGGAAGUGGAGCCCCUGU